rnacentral:lncRNA from 10 species
GGAAGAGGAGAGAGGGAAGCUCCAGUGGCUUAUCUCCAAUGACCGUCCGGAUGCUCCUGUCUCUGACUUAUGCCUCCAACAGACCCAGCCUCUUCUCUACAAAACUGACUUGCCCAUUGCGUCCCCCAAACCCUGAUCAACUUGCACCACUGUCCCCCUCGUCACCAGUGUUGGAACUUUCAUAUCGUUCUCUUGCUCCCAUGUCACUCCCCCAUCCUAAAUCAGGCCAUUAUCCCCUCAUCCCUAAACCACUGUGAGAGCCUGAUCCAUGGUCUCCUCUCCCGGUCUCUCCCUACACCAUCCAUUUGGUCUAUGCACGAGCAGCCGUUGCAGCCGUCUGAGCCUCCUACAAUACUCCAUGAGUGACCCCUGCCUCUCACACUGCCUAUGGCCAUGCCUUCCAAAAUGAUGGGUCUAAACCCUCAGGAGACCGUGUGUCUGUGAUAUCAAAGCUGCAGCAUAAAUUUGAAGCACCUGACUAGGUCAUUUUUACUCAAAGUACCAGACCAAAGUAAACAAAACCCUUUCUGCAUUGAAACAAACCCAAAGUUGGGAAAUUGAAUGCAAAUUCUUACAUUUUUGAGAUAGAACAGGGAAAAUUUUCUCUGAAUUCAGACCCUAUUCUUACAGGCACACCAGUGCCUCAGGGUCCCCCUCUGCCCUGGCAUCUCAGUCUGGGGACUCCCAGCUGCUCUCAUGACUACUGUCCAACCCAAGUGGUGGGGCUCACCCUGGGAGCUGUCCGGCUGCUUCUCUUGCAUUGCUGUUGUGCCACUCAGCUGUGACCAAUGCUGCACAGGCUCCUCCUUGCAGGGGCUUUUCAAUCAGCCUGUUCAUCUGCCUGGUUUUCAGGCCCCUUGUCUCUCUCUCUCUCUCUCUCUUUUAAACAAAGUCUCGCUUUGUCACCCACACUGGAGGGUAAUGGCACAAUCAUGGUUCACCGCAGCCUCAAUCUCCUGGACUCAAGCAAUCCUCCCACCUCAACCUCCUGAGUAGGCAGGACUAUAGGUGUGCACCACCAUGCCUGGGUAAAGUUUUUUUCUAUUUUUUGUAGCUAUGGGGUCUUGCUGUGUUGUCUAGGCUGGUCUCAAACUCCUGAGACCCCCCGUCUCUGUAUCUUUACAGGCUUGGUUCCCUGGGUCUGCUUCUUUCUCCUUGGGUAAGGCCUGCCAGGCCUCUCUGCUUCAUUCCAAAUUCAAAAAUCCACUGUCUACCUGCCAGUUCCACACAGGUGUCCAACAAGCAGCUCAAACUUCACAGGGCCACAACAGAGUAAAGAUGACACAUGCCAUCCACCCAGGUGCUCAGGUCAAAGCACAGGAACCAUCCUUGAUUCCCCUGUCUGAAGCCCCUACAUUUAACCCACCAACUCCCGUCAGCUCCACUUCCAAAUGUGUCCCAAUCCACCCUCUCUCAUCGCCACUGCCCCAGUCCAAACUACCACCAUCUCUUGUCUCUCGUACAACAGUCACCAAAUGGGCCUUCCUGCUUCCACUCUUGCUCCCUCCAAGCCUUUUCUCCAC